UCGCUUGAAUGAUUAGAGACUUGGAUGAUCCGAAGAAUGCACUCUGUGCAAAGAAUAUAGAUACUGCAUUAGCAUCAAAGCAAAUUGCCAACCAGUGCUAUCUGGGAAAGAUUACACCAAAGCUUUAUGCUGUUACUCCCAGGCACUGACGCACUGUGCCUUGCUCCAAUAGAUGUUGAUGACAUGGGCAGAAAUCUGGUUACUAGUUUGUACAUAAACUGGCUUCUUUGUUUCAGUUGAGUUUUGCACAGACCUUUUUUCCACAAAAACUAUUUUUUUGGGGAAGUGUGAUAUAGAUGUUCAAAACAUGGAUUUUUGUAGGUCAAUAUGUCAAUUAUCUAAUUGAAAAAUAGAUUGCUCAUGUUCCUUCAACUAUCAUUUUCAUGUCAUCGUUUAUGACAUAGAAGGAAUCAUAGAAA